AUGUGUCAGAAACAAUGUAUUAAAUUUAAGAUUUAAUUAUGAAAUUUUCCUUUAGUA
rnacentral:tRNA from 1 species